GACGAACGCUGGCGGCGUGCUUAACACAUGCAAGUCGAACGGAAAGGCCCUGCUUUUGUGGGGUGCUCGAGUGGCGAACGGGUGAGUAACACGGGAGUAACCUGCCCUUGACUUUGGGAUAACUUCAGGAAACUGGGGCUAAUACCGGAUAGGAGCUCCUGCUGCAUGGUGGGGGUUGGAAAGUUUCGGCGGUUGGGGAUGGACUCGCGGCUUAUCAGCUUGUUGGUGGGGUAGUGGCUUACCAAGGCUUUGACGGGUAGCCGGCCUGAGAGGGUGACCGGCCACAUUGGGACUGAGAUACGGCCCAGACUCCUACGGGAGGCAGCAGUGGGGAAUAUUGCACAAUGGGCGGAAGCCUGAUGCAGCAACGCCGCGCGCGGGAUGACGGCCUUCGGGUUGUAAACCGCUUUCGCCUGUGACGAAGCGUGAGUGACGGUAAUGGGUAAAGAAGCACCGGCUAACUACGUG
rnacentral:rRNA from 1 species